UACAGAGGGGGCAAGCGUUGUCCGGAUUUACUGGGCGUAAAGAGCGUGUAGGCGGCCAAGCAGGUCCGUUGUGAAAACUGGAGGCUUAACCUCCAGACGUCGACGGAAACCGCGUGGCUAGAGUCCGGAAGAGGAGAGUGGAAUUCCUGGUGUAGCGGUGAAAUGCGCAGAUAUCAGGAAGAACACCAAUGGCGAAGGCAGCUCUCUGGGACGGUACUGACGCUGAGACGCGAAAGCGUGGGGAGCGAACAGG
rnacentral:rRNA from 1 species